rnacentral:rRNA from 1 species
AUGUCUGGGAAACUGCCUGAUGGAGGGGGGAUAACUACUGGAAACGGUAGCUAAUACCGCAUAACGUCGCAAGACCAAAGAGGGGGACCUUCGGGCCUCUUGCCAUCGGAUGUGCCCAGAUGGGAUUAGCUAGUAGGUGGGGUAACGGCUCACCUAGGCGACGAUCCCUGGCUGGUCUGAGAGGAUGACCAGCCACACUGGAACUGAGACACGGUCCAGACUCCUACGGGAGGCAGCAUG